UGCGUGAGUCUAGAUAUAAGAGCAUACAAAGGGAAAGUAAAACAAGAGGUACUCUAAGUCUGAUUGAUAUUAUCUAGGAUCCUGAAACAAGAGGUACUCUAAGUCUGAUUGAUAUUAUCUAGGAUCCUGAAACAAGAGGUACUCUAAGUCUGAUUGAUAUUAUCUAGGAUCCUGAAACAAGAGGUACUCUAAGUCUGAUUGAUAUUAUCUAGGAUCCUGAAACAAGAGGUACUCUAAGUCUGAUUGAUAUUAUCUAGGAUCCUGAAACAAGAGGUACUCUAAGUCUGAUUGAUAUUAUCUAGGAUCCUGAAACAAGAGGUACUCUAAGUCUGAUUGAUAUUAUCUAAGAUCCUGAAACAAGCCUAACGGC